rnacentral:rRNA from 1 species
CGCCUCUUGACUCUUAUAAGAGGUCCAGCCUGCCCAGUGACCAUGUUCAACGGCCGCGGUAUCCUAACCGUGCGAAGGUAGCGUAAUCACUUGUUCUUUAAAUGUGGACUAGUAUGAAUGGCACCACGAAGGUUAUACUGUCUCCUUUUUCUAAUCAGUGAAACUAAUCUCCCCGUGAAGAAGCGAGGAUAUACCUAUAAGACGAGAAGACCCUAUGGAGCUUUAAACAACACAGCAAUUACCUGCUAAACUAAGAAGUUUCUGAACAUUUUCAAUCUUUUAAGUAAUCUGACUGCAAGUUUUUGGUUGGGGUGACCACGGAGCAUAACACAACCUCCAUGUUGAAAGAAUUCUUUCUAAGCCAAGAACAACCUUUCUAAGCAUCAAUAUAUUGACAUCCAUUGACCCAAUACAUUUGACCAACGAACCAAGUUACCCUAGGGAUAACAGCGCAAUCCACUUCAAGAGCUCCUAUCGACAAGUGGGUUUACGACCUCGAUGUUGGAUCAGGGUAUCCCAGUGGUGCAGCCGCUACUAAAGGUUCGUUUGUUCAACGAUUAAAACCCUACG